UCUGGUGAACCACAGGAGAGGUCCAACGCUACCUGGAGCAACUGAGGGUUCUCAGUAUUGAUGUAGACUUCACCAAAUAUAUUCAGGGAGCAUCACUCAUCUCAGUGCAAUAUAAAAAGUGCUGGCCAGCAAGAAAUCAGUGGAGAAGUUCAGCUACCUGCAUCUAGGACAUGAGACUACUCUUUGUACAGUAGAAGGCUAAAAGUAUCCAGCAAGUCCUGACCAGCAGAAAAGAACUAGGUAAAAUUCUACACAGCUGGAAGACUCCAGCAGAGACAGCAGCAGAGAAGGCAGCGUUAAGUUUUUAAAGACAGCAAAAAAAAAAAAAAAAAAGCAGUUUCUGAUAAAGUUACACAUUGGAAAUACAUUUUACAGAGCAUUGUAAAAACUUGAAAAGGGAAGCAAAGAAAAUUAAGGCCAACACAAGUAAGAAAGUAAGAACUGUGGGAAGAAUUCUGAAAGACAUGUUAGGAGUGUAACAAUAAAGUCACUCAAUACACGGAGUGAAAAAAUGCUCAACUUUGAAAAAGUGGUAAAAUUUUCAAGAGUAGUGAAUACAUGAAAAUGCCUGGUAUCAAUGGAAAAGUUUGGAAAAAUUUGUAUUUGGAGAAGUUACAAGAGCUUGCCGAGGGAUUUUCUGAACUCUCUCCUUUAGUUAUUUUUGGUUGAUGUUUUUUUGUUUUAUGUCAGCAGCUCCUGCAAUGUAGAUGAAAACUGGGGAAGCCCGAAGAUCAUUUAGGAUAGCGUCAAUAUUUAAAAAACAGCUGAAGCCUGCAAAAUGGUUGGACCCAAGAGCCAUGGCUGCAGGCUCUGUGCCUGAAGAUCCAAUUCUAUGAGCCCUACGACUGCACCAAGUCUCAUUAGCCAUUUCAGCCCCAAAGGACAUUCACGGAAAGAAGAAAGAAAGAAAAAAAUACCUUUUCUAUAUGAGCAAGAUGUGAUGAAGAAGGCUGAAGAGUGGAGGGGUGGAAACCUACGGGGAGGGCAGAGCACCGAACUUUGAGCUUAAACUCCUUGAGGAACAGAUUGGAGAUUCAAGAAGCCGAGGGUAAUACACAGUUUACAGCAGAGCACUAGAGAAAGCAAAUGCUUCCUCCAUGCUGUACACAUUUACAAGAGCUGAGAGAAGAAUGAAUUCUCCAAAAAUGCCAGUGUGGAAGUAAGUAGGACUGGAGUUUAUUUCCUUGGAAGCUUAGCAAAUCC
rnacentral:lncRNA from 1 species